CUGUCUCAUGCAAGACCACCAGCUAUAUAAGCGAUCAUAUAAUCUAGCAGAAGUGAAGCUCUGUCUGCAUCUGCUGGGACUGUACACCUCUCACAAUAUGCAUCGUCAGACCUUGCUGUCAUUCUUGGUCAUCUUGACUCUCACACUCCACGCCUGUGUGAGUGAACCAGACAUGCUGCACCCACCUCAACCCUGCACUAAAGCAGAAAACAAGUUUAGUUACAACACUUUCCUUAAACGGCAUGUACGCAAUGACACACCAACCGAUCUGAAAAAAGAAAACUGGAAGAAGUUUAUUAACAGAAUCAACACCUGGAACAGAACGAUUCAGUCAUUCUUUCCCUUCAGUGAGAAAGACAAUGUGGAAGCUGUGUGUUCAUCAGGAGGAAAGAUGUUUAAGGACAACCUUUGCAUCAGCAAGAAGCCUUUUUCCUUCAUCACUGUUAAGCUUGACAGUAAGAAGAAAAUAAUCAAAAAUGUCAACCUUCAAAAACAGCAUGUCAUUCUUGCCUGUGAUAAAUUUGACAACAAAUGUCUCCCUGAUCAUUUUGAGGCAAAUACAAAAAAAAAUAAACCAAAUAACAACAAACCAGACUGCAGUAAACUGAAUCGCAAUUUGUUUUAUGAGGAAGUGUUUCCCUGGCUGUAAUGUAACAGUAGACAAAUGACCUGCAGAAGUUUUAUAUAUUCUUGUUUUUUAUUUUUUUAUUUUUUUUAUUCUGUGGGUUGAUGAAAUUGCUGAUGUUGAAAAUAUGAAUAAAUAUCAUAUAUAUUAAACAA